rnacentral:tRNA from 1 species
GCCUGGGUAGCUCAGUCAGUUGAGCGUCUGACUCCGGCUCAGGUCAUGAUCUCAUGGUCCAUGAGUUCGAGCCCCGUGUCGGGCU